CCCGUGCACCCUUCUCCCAAUCUUAAUGUUUCACACAAUUAAAGUAUAAUAUCAAAACCAAGAAAUUGACAUUGGUACAAUCCAUAGAGCUUAUUUGGAGUUCACCAGAUACACAUGCUGUCAAUAUUUGUGUAUGCGCGUGUGUAGCUGUAUGCAAUUGUAUCACAUGUAGCCUUGCAUAACUACCACCACAACCAAGAUCCAGAACAAUUCCAUUAUCACAAGACUCCUUUGUGUUACCCCUUUCUGGCCACACCCAUCCCCUCCCCUGUCCCUGGCCCCUGGCACCCAUUUAUCUGUUAUGUAUCACUGCAGGUACUUCAAUUAACAUCACCUAAAUGGAAUUGUGUGCUACGCAUCCUUUUUCUUUUUUUUUUUUUCUUUGAGACAGGGUCUUGUUCUGUUGCCCAGGCUGGAGUGUGGUAGCAUGAGCAUGGCUCACUGCAAUCUCCACCUCCCAGGCUCAAGCGAUCCUCCCACCUCACCCUCCCCGGUAGUGGGACCACAGGUAGGAGGCAGGGACCACGCCCAUCUUAUCUUUAUAUUCCCAGCAUCU
rnacentral:lncRNA from 1 species